CGCGGAGGGCGUGUGGCGAUGGCUGCCUACAAGGUGAAGCUGCUCACACCAGAAGGGCCACAAGAGUUUGAGUGCCCCGACGACGUGUACAUUCUCGACGCGGCGGAGGAGGCCGGGAUUGACCUUCCCUACUCAUGCAGGGCAGGGUCUUGCUCCUCGUGCGCCGGCAAAGUUGUGAGUGGGGGUGUGGAUCAGUCGGACCAGAGCUUUUUGGAUGAUGAGCAGAUGGACGGUGGAUUUGUGCUCACUUGUGUGGCUUAUCCGUCGUCUGACGUCACACUUGAGACCCACAAGGAAGAGGAGCUUACUGGUUAAGUGCUUUUGAGCUUUCUCAUGAUGACGUCAUGUUUUGAUGGCUGCUGGCUGGUUGGAUCUGCCUUAAGUUUGUUUCAGGAUAAGGUUGUCUUGUUUCUAAUUAUAUGAGUUGCUUAAUGUUUUUGUACUCUCAUUUGUGGUAUGGAGAUCAUUGUAUCUUGUAAACUCACCCUUGUAUGAAUCUCUCUCUUUGUUUGGAAGUGCUUUUAGAAUAAUUAGAGGUGCUUUUAGAUAAUUAAAAGUGUUUUUGAGUUGCAAAAGGUUCAAGAAGGAAGAACUUCCCAAUGCUUUUCCACGAAGCACUCUGGUUUUCAUCAAAAAUUUCAAAGUACUUGUAUUAAAAGUGCUUGUGAGCAGGUACCCCAAGUUUUCUAAGUUUAAAAGUGAAGGACAUGUCUUCAAACCAGAUUUGGGAAUCAAUUUUAACAUUGCUUAACAGGACAUUAAGUGUUAAGAC
rnacentral:lncRNA from 1 species